ensembl:miRNA
UUGGCCAAAAAGCUCGUUUGGGUUUUUCCAUAAGAUGUUACAGAAAAAUCCGAAUGAACUUUUUGUCCAA